GAUGAAGAACGCAGCGAAAUGCGAUAAGUAAUGUGAAUUGCAGAGUUUUGUGAAUCAUCGAAUCUUUGAACGCACAUUGCGCCCCUCGGUAUUCCGACGGGCAUGCCUGUCCGAGCGUCGUUUGCAACCCAUCGAGUAACACUUCUCGGUCUUGGGCGCCGUCCGCCCCCUCGGGGGAUCGGACGGGCCCCAAAGCCCUCGGCGGCCCCGGGUGCCCCGCCGGAGCGUCUUCGAAAGCAAUCGCUCCGGCGCGUCGCGCCCCGGGACCAAGCCGGCACCGCGGCCCCCCCAAAGGGGUCGCACCCCCAACACCAAACGUCUGACCUCGGAUCAGGUAGGGCUACCCGCUGAACUUAAGCAUAUCAAUAAGCGGAGGA
rnacentral:misc_RNA from 1 species